GAACAUGAAUGAUGAUGAUCAACCUAAUAAGGCAAUCUUGGUUUGUGGAGCAGAAGCCAGAUUCUGAGGACUUGACUGAUACAACAACACACGUUGACAUAAUCAACCUACCAAUGCUCUGCUCUCUGUGUCCAGAGUUAAGCACCCUGGUUCUGAGAUCACAACAAGAAAGCAGGAGGACGACAUAGUCCCUUUACAAGCAACAACAAAGCCUUGAGCUCGAGUACCUUAAACUGCUAUUGUUACCUUAAACUGCUAUUGUUACCUAACAUGAUGUUGUGGUGGUUACUUGUUAUUGACUAAAUCAUAUUUAGAUGAUUUCUGUUCAACUUUUAAAUGUGUAUGUCUGCAUUUUGCACUCUUUAUCUGCAGAGAUAGUCAAAAGUUUCCCAA